UACAGAGGUCUCAAGCGUUGUUCGGAAUUACUGGGCGUAAAGGGCCCGUAGGCGGCCAACUCAGUCGGAUGUGAAAUCCCCAGGCUCAACUUGGGAACUGCAUCCGAUACUGGAUGGCUUGAAUCCGGGAGAGGGAUGCAGAAUUCCAGGUGUAGCGGUGAAAUGCGUAGAUAUCUGGAGGAAUACCGGUGGCGAAGGCGGCAUCCUGGACCGGCAUUGACGCUGAACGGCGAAAGCUAGGGGAGCAAACGGG
rnacentral:rRNA from 1 species